rnacentral:rRNA from 1 species
GACGAACGCUGGCGGCGUGCCUAAUGCAUGCAAGUCGAGCGACGCACACCGGAGGGGUAACCCACCGGUAUGACGGAGCGGCGAACGGGUGAGUAACACGUGAGCAACCUGCCCCACAGAUCGGGAUAGCCCAGGGAAACCUGGAUUAAUACCGAAUACCCUCGAGUAACCACAUGAUUGUUCGAGGAAAUGCCUUUGUGCUGUGGGAUGGGCUCGCGGCUUAUCAGCUAGUUGGUGGGGUAACGGCCUACCAAGGCAUCGACGAGUAGCUGGUCUGAGAGGACGAUCAGCCACACUGGGACUGAGACACGGCCCAGACUCCUACGGGAGGCAG